rnacentral:rRNA from 1 species
CCCUUAGAUGUUCUGGGCCGCGCGCGCGCUACACUGAUGCAUUCAACAAGUUCUACCUUGGCCGAGAGGCCUGGGAAAUCUUUCAAAUAUGUAUCGUGAUAGGGAUAGAUUAUUGCAAUUAUUAACCUUGAACGAGGAAUUCCUAGUAAAUGCAGAUCAUCAUUCUGCGUUGAUUACGUCCCUGCCCUUUGUACACACCGCCCGUCGCACCUACCGAUUGAAUGAUCCGGUGAAGCCUCGGGAUUGUGCCCAGAGAACUUUAUUGUGAUUUGGGUGUGAGAACUUGUCUAAACCUUAUCAUUUAGAGGAAGGUGAAGUCGUAACA